rnacentral:misc_RNA from 1 species
CAGAUCCGCAGUGACGUAUAACGUACGAUCUCAAGUUGAAUAUACUGCUUAUUAAAAUAUUUGAAAACAAAAGAGGAAGUAAGACAGACAUUGAAUUCUUUGAAACUUUACUGACUUAUUUGAAAAUCAGGAAAUAAGAAAGUUAUUUUGAGAAAAACGAAAGAGAUUUUUCUGUGUAACCGCGAAUGAGUCCAAAACCGUAGAUGAUAUGGACAAGCGCCGAAAGAACAAAAAUUCUUCACUCAGACGACGGAAAGUAGACAAAUUUCAGAAUAAAGACCAUGUAAAUACACCAAAACAAAACAUUAAAUGCGGCACUAUUGACACCAUUACUGUUUCAGUGGAAGAAGAUCAGGAAAGUGUUGUCUUGUCUCUGAAAACAAUAGCCGAUAGAUUCACUGAUGGUUGCAUUUUAUUUGAUUAUGGAAAAUUAACUGUAUACUUAAACGUAAGAGCUGACCUUCUAGCUGAUAUAGAGAACACAAGUGUUGCUAAUCAGAUGGACUUUUCACUCCUGCAUGAUGUAUACAACAGUUACAAAACAUUCUUACUGUACAGUAAUAAAGAUGGCAAGAAAAAGAUUUUGCCGAAAAACAUGUACUUCCAAACAAUAAUUGAACGAAUUGAGAAAGGAGUCUUUGACAACGGAAAUGUUUCUUCACAUGUAUUCGUAUUGCUACGAGAAUUGACAAACUCCAAACAAGAGUGUAAGAGCAAACUGAAUGAAGACACAAACAAUGAUUCAGAGUGUUGUACAAAGAACAAAUCUGCAACACAGCUACAAGCAUACCGUCAAAAGCAAAGCCAUUAUCAUAAAGAAAUUAUCAACAAAACCACAACGGAAUUAAAUUGUCGACGAAAUGUUUCUCUGCAAAGUUCGAAGAUUUGUCUUGGCAAUGUAAAAGUGAUUAAGCCUUUGCUGAAACAUGUACCUUCGCUUCCACGGUUACCUUCACCUAUACCUCGAUUAAAGAUCUUUUCAUGUUUCCCGUUCGAAGAACAAUUACAUUAUCCGAACACAGCUUCCGAGGAACAACGUGAUGACGAACAGAUUCAUAGCGCACAAGUUGUCUCUAAUGUCAAUUCAGUUGUCCAUGGAGAACGCUUAUCCAGCCAUCAGCAAGAUGCCAGCAAUGGAUUUUAUUCUCCUGUUACCAGCCAUGCACAAUCUGAUAUACGAGGAACAGAACGUCCAGUCCAACAACGACCUCAAGUUCCACCUCGACACCCUAACUAUUCCCACUAUGCUGAGAGAUUGAUGUCAUUUACAGAAUGGAAGCACAGAAGUCCGCAACCUGAAACACUCAGCCAAGCAGGGUUCUUUUUCACAAAACAAGGUGAUUUGGUACGUUGCUUUCAAUGUGGAAUUGGAUUGAAAGACUUCUCACUAGAUGAUGAUCCUCUUUUAGAACAUGUCCGGCAUUCAAGGCAGUGUCCAUUUCUUCCAGAACUUCUUGGUGACGAUGGGCUGGCAAUGUAUCAGAACAGACUACAAGCUGUCGAUCCUGAAUACAAUCGUCAACAGCAAUGGGCCGAGACAGAGAGGUUCAGCAACACGAUCAAGCUACUGCCAUCCUAAAUAUCAAACAAUGCAAGCUCGUCUUUCAUCAUUUAUAAACUGGCCUGAAGAUUUGACACAGACACCUCAACAGUUGGCUGAAGCCGGGCUAUAUUACACUGGUUUCGAAGACCAAGUGCAAUGUUUUGCCUGUGGCGGCGGGUUACGAUGGGAACCUGAAGACGACCCUUGGACAGAACACUGCAGAUGGUUUCCCGCGUGCCCUUAUGCUUUGGAACAAAAAGAAGAACAGUUCAUA